CAGUAGCCGCGGUAAUACGUAGGGUGCGAGCGUUAAUCGGAAUUACUGGGCGUAAAGCGUGCGCAGGCGGUUGUGUAAGACAGGUGCGAAAUCCCCGGGCUUAACCUGGGAACUGCGCUUGUGACUGCACAGCUAGAGUAUGGCAGAGGGGGGUGGAAUUCCACGUGUAGCAGUGAAAUGCGUAGAGAUGUGGAGGAACACCGAUGGCGAAGGCAGCCCCCUGGGCCAAUACUGACGCUCAUGCACGAAAGCGUGGGGAGCAAACAGGAUUAGAUACCCCCGUAGUCCCUGUCUCUUAUAA
rnacentral:rRNA from 1 species